rnacentral:rRNA from 1 species
UACGUAGGGUGCGAGCGUUAAUCGGAAUUACUGGGCGUAAAGCGUGCGCAGGCGGUUGGGCAAGUCAGAUGUGAAAUCCCCGGGCUCAACCCGGGAACUGCGUCCGAUACUGGAAGGCUUGAAUCCGGGAGAGGGAUGCGGAAUUCCAGGUGUAGCGGUGAAAUGCGUAGAUAUCUGGAGGAACACCGGUGGCGAAGGCGGCAUCCUGGACCGGCAUUGACGCUGAGGCGCGAAAGCCAGGGGAGCAAACGGG